ACUUAAUGAUGGCAGUGAUGUAUCCUCUGAGAGAGAAAUAAACUCUGUGGAAAUAAAGUUUGUGGCUGACAUCUCCCUCCUUCCUGCCUGUCAUUUCCUCUAAGUCAGAGUCAGAAAAGGACAAGUAGCUGUGCAGGAAACAGUAACACCAUUCUGAAGAGCUUGUCGGCCAGUCUCCUGAAACGUCAUUCAUUCUUUUAGCAUCAACAAGGAGGAAGACACAAGACCCUGGGCUAGAAACUAUGAGCACAAAGAAUAUGAAAUAGCUACUGGAAGUGGAACUUCAGCAAUGAUGGCAUGAGAAGCAUGGCAAAAACCCCUGCCUGGCAAAACAAGGGAGACGGGGAGAUUUGACUGUAGAAGAGGAAAAGAGGUUGUGCUGAGAGAAGCAGAGAUGGAAUGAUGCCCACUGAAGAUGGCAGCAGGGGCCACAAGCCAAGAAAUACAGACGGCCACUAAGGCUAAAAGAGGCGAGGAAACAGAUUCAACUCUCAAGCCCUCCAGAAGAAAACAGCCCUGCAGAAACCUUGACUUUCAUCCAGUGAAAGUGAUUUCAGACUUCUGACCUCCAAAACUGUAAGACAGGGAAUUUGUUUUGUUUAAGCCACUAAGUUUAUAGUAAUUUCUUAC